AAAAGUUAGAAAGAGAAGCUAGGAUAUGUAGAAAAUUGCAACAUCCCAAUAUAGUGAGACUGCAUGACAGUAUACAGGAAGAAAAUUUUCAUUAUUUAGUGUUCGAUCUAGUCACUGGCGGCGAAUUGUUCGAAGACAUCGUUGCGAGGGAAUUCUACUCCGAAGCGGAUGCCUCGCAUUGUAUACAACAGAUAUUGGAAUCUGUAAACCAUUGCCAUCAAAACGGGGUUGUACAUAGAGAU